rnacentral:rRNA from 1 species
UCUUUGUUGGAAUGGGCGUAAUUUAAACCCCUACGUGAGUACCCACUGGAGGGCAAGUCUGGUGCCAGCAGCCGCGGUAAUUCCAGCUCCAGUAGCCUAUCCACAUGUUGUUGCAGUUAAAAAGCUCGUAGUUGAAUGUCUGGGAUUAGGGUCAGCCGCACCGCGGCGAUCCUGCCCGCCCCGCCGCAAGGCGCUUUUACUGUGAAAAAAUUAGAGUGUUCCAAGCAGGCCUAGCCUGAAUACCUUAGCAUGGAAUAAUAACAUAGGACUGUCCGUGGUGUUGUUGGUUAGCAUCCGGCGGUAAUGAUUAAUAGGGACGAUCGGGGGCAUUUCUAUUCAGCAGUCAGAGGUGAAAUUCUUGGAUUUGCUGAAGAGAAACUGCUGCGAAAGCGUCUGCCAAGGGCGUUUUCAUUAAUCAAGAACGAAAGUCAGGGGAGCGAAGAGGAUUAGAUACCCUCGUAGUCUUGACCAUAAACCAUGCCGACUCGGGAUUGGUGUCGCCGUAGGGCACAUCAGCACCGUAUGUAAAAACAAAGUCUUUGGGUUCCGGGGGGAGUCUGGUCGCAAGGCUGAAACUUAAAGGAAUUGACGGAAGGGCACCACCAGGAGUGGAGCCUGCGGCUUAAUUUGACCCAACACGGGAAAACUUACCAGGUCCGGACGCAAUGAGGAUUGACAGAUUGAAAGCUCUUUCUUGAUUCUGUGGGUGGUGGUGCAUGGCCGUUCUUAGUUGGUGGAGUGAUUUGUCUGGUUGAUUCCGAUAACGAACGAGACCCCCGCCUGCUAAUGUAGUCCAGGCUCAAUGAGUAUUGGAUCUUCUUAGAGGGACUAUCGGUGUCAAGCCGAUGGAAGUUGGGGGCAAUAACAGGUCUGUGAUGCCCUUAGACGUUCUGGGCCGCACGCGCGCUACACUGACUAGUCCAACGAGUGUUUGUACCUUUGCUGAUAGGCAUGGGCAAUCUCUGAACGCUAGUCGUGAUAGGGAUCGAUUUUUGGAAUUAUUAAUCGUCAACGAGGAAUUCCUAGUAAACGCGGGUCAUCAGCCCGCAUUGAUUACGUCCCUGCCCUUUGUACACACCGCCCGUCGCACCUACCGAUUGAAUGGUCCGGUGAAGCCUCCGGAUUGGAUGCGCAGGCCCUGCCUGCUGUCCGAGAAGUUGGCUAAAUCUUACCAUUUAGAGGAAGGUGAAGUCGUAACAAGGUU